AUAUACGAACGUUAUGAACAAUCCUAAGAUCGAUCAUUAACCAACUCAAGCAAAAGGGCGAAAACUCACCGAAUGCGAAGGAAACUCUCUCGAUCUCCAAAUAGGAGUUAAGAGUCCUUCUAAUCCAACCUAAACAAAGGUUCUAAGCCCAUCAAUUUGGUUCCAAAAGCCUCAAAUCCAAAAUCCCCAAAAUAAACCCUAAUUUUCAAUUCUAAGGUUUCAUCUAGUAGAAUCUACUAAAACAUAAAUCAAAGAGGAGAUUAAGCUUACUAACCUAACUAGAAACUUCAAAUCACCCAAGAACCCUGCUAGAGUUGAAGAUCUUCCCUCCACAAAGCUCCAAUCACGAGCUCAAGGCUUCUCCCAUGGUGGAAACCAAC
rnacentral:lncRNA from 1 species